UACGUAGGGUGCGAGCGUUGUCCGGAAUUAUUGGGCGUAAAGGGCUCGUAGGCGGUUUGUUGCGUCUAUCGUGAAAACCUGCGGCUUAACUGUGGGCUUGCGGUGGAUACGGGCAGACUUGAGUUCGGUAGGGGAGACUGGAAUUCCUGGUGUAGCGGUGAAAUGCGCAGAUAUCAGGAGGAACACCGGUGGCGAAGGCGGGUCUCUGGGCCGAUACUGACGCUGAGGAGCGAAAGCGUGGGGAGCGAACAGG
rnacentral:rRNA from 1 species